CACCGGCGGCUCGAGUGGUGGCCACUUUUAUUGGGUCUAAAGCGUCCGUAGCCGGCUUGGCAAGUCCCCUGGGAAAUCUGGCGGCUUAACCGUCAGGCGUCCAGAGGAUACUGCCAGGCUUGGGACCGGGAGAGGUGAGAGGUACCUCAGGGGUAGGGGUGAAAUCUUGUGAUCCCUGAGGGACCACCAGUGGCGAAGGCGUCUCACUAGAACGGGUCCGACGGUCAGAGACGAAAGCUGGGGGCACGAACCGG
rnacentral:rRNA from 1 species